rnacentral:rRNA from 1 species
UAUCUCUGUAGAGUCUGCAUAUCAAUAAGCGGAGGAAAAGAAACUAGCUAGGAUUCCCUUAGUAACGGCGAGUGAAGCGGGAAGAGCUCAAAUUUGAAAUCUUCAAGGUUUUCCCUUGACGAAUUGUAGUUUAAAGAAGUGUUUUCUGUUGAAGUUUCGGUAAAAGUUCUUUGGAAUAGGACAUCAUAGAGGGUGAGAAUCCCGUAUUUGACCGUUAUUUUCAGCUGUGUGAUACACUUUCAAAGAGUCGGAUUGAUUGGGAAUGCAGUCCAGAAUGGGUGGUAAAUUUCAUCUAAGGCUAAAUACUGGCGAGAGACCGAUAGCGAACAAGUACCGUGAGGGAAAGAUGAAAAGAACUUUGAAAAGAGAGUUAAACAGUACGUGAAAUUGUCAAAAGGGAAGCGUUUGACACCAGUGUUGUUUUCUCGAAAAUCAAUUAAAAAAGAUUGGAUUUUGUGUUGUAUUGACUUUAUCAGCUUUCAGCACUCUUUUUCUUGUCUUUUUUAAUGCACUUUUCGUUUAACAAGUCAACAUCAAUUUCUUUUGUUGUAAAAGGGUCAUUGGAAGGUGGCUUUCUUUUCGGAGAAAGUGUUUAUAGCCUUUGACUUCUGCAGUCGGAGAGAUUGAGGUCUGCAGCGUAGAUCCUUCGGGGUUAGAUGCAUUUGUGCUAAGUUAUAGCCUUUCAUAGACAACUUGUUGACUAUGAUCAGUCAUGUAGCUUACUCGCUUAUGUUAUUUUACCUACGCUUAGGAUGUUGAUCUCUCACAGUCGAGC